AGCGCGGUAGAGCAGUUAGGCCAGCUCGUCGGGUUCAUAACCCGAAGGUCGGAGGUUCAAAUCCUCCCCGCGCCA
rnacentral:tRNA from 1 species